GAUGAACGCUGGCGGCGUGCCUAAUACAUGCAAGUCGAGCGAACAGAUAAGGAGCUUGCUCCUUUGACGUUAGCGGCGGACGGGUGAGUAACACGUGGGUAACCUACCUAUAAGACUGGGAUAACUUCGGGAAACCGGAGCUAAUACCGGAUAACAUUUGGAACCGCAUGGUUCUAAAGUGAAAGAUGGUUUUGCUAUCACUUAUAGAUGGACCCGCGCCGUAUUAGCUAGUUGGUAAGGUAACGGCUUACCAAGGCGACGAUACGUAGCCGACCUGAGAGGGUGAUCGGCCACACUGGAACUGAGACACGGUCCAGACUCCUACGGGAGGCAGCAGUAGGGAAUCUUCCGCAAUGGGCGAAAGCCUGACGGAGCAACGCCGCGUGAGUGAUGAAGGGUUUCGGCUCGUAAAACUCUGUUAUUAGGGAAGAACAAACGUGUAAGUAACUGUGCACGUCUUGACGGUACCUAAUCAGAAAGCCACGGCUAACUACGUGCCAGCAGCCGCGGUAAUACGUAGGUAGCAAGCGUUAUCCGGAAUUAUUGGGCGUAAAGCGCGCGUAGGCGGUUUCUUAAGUCUGAUGUGAAAGCCCACGGCUCAACCGUGGAGGGUCAUUGGAAACUGGGAAACUUGAGUGCAGAAGAGGAAAGUGGAAUUCCAUGUGUAGCGGUGAAAUGCGCAGAGAUAUGGAGGAACACCAGUGGCGAAGGCGACUUUCUGGUCUGUAACUGACGCUGAUGUGCGAAAGCGUGGGGAUCAAACAGGAUUAGAUACCCUGGUAGUCCACGCCGUAAACGAUGAGUGCUAAGUGUUAGGGGGUUUCCGCCCCCUAGUGCUGCAGCUAACGCAUUAAGCACUCCGCCUGGGGAGUACGACCGCAAGGUUGAAACUCAAAGGAAUUGACGGGGACCCGCACAAGCGGUGGAGCAUGUGGUUUAAUUCGAAGCAACGCGAAGAACCUUACCAAAUCUUGACAUCCUUUGAAAACUCUAGAGAUAGAGCCUUCCCCUUCGGGGGACAAAGUGACAGGUGGUGCAUGGUUGUCGUCAGCUCGUGUCGUGAGAUGUUGGGUUAAGUCCCGCAACGAGCGCAACCCUUAAGCUUAGUUGCCAUCAUUAAGUUGGGCACUCUAGGUUGACUGCCGGUGACAAACCGGAGGAAGGUGGGGAUGACGUCAAAUCAUCAUGCCCCUUAUGAUUUGGGCUACACACGUGCUACAAUGGACAAUACAAAGGGCAGCUAAACCGCGAGGUCAUGCAAAUCCCAUAAAGUUGUUCUCAGUUCGGAUUGUAGUCUGCAGCUCGACUACAUGAAGCUGGAAUCGCUAGUAAUCGUAGAUCAGCAUGCUACGGUGAAUACGUUCCCGGGUCU
rnacentral:rRNA from 1 species